UGGCUCAGAUGGUUAAGAAUCUGCCUGCAGAGCAGGAGACCCAGGUUCAAUUCCUGG
rnacentral:tRNA from 1 species